GGUUCCUUGGCGCAAUUGGUAGCGCGUCCGACUCCAGAUCGGAAGGCUGGGGGUUCGACUCCCUCAGGGGCCA
rnacentral:tRNA from 1 species